UCUCACUCUAAUCCAGCCCCAAACCCGUUUAAAAGCCAGUCCACCCUACCAAAUAACCAAAACGACCUCGUUUUGGUCACGUUUGAUCUCAUCCUUCCAUAUCUCCCAAUCCAACAGUCCGUAACUAAUGCCCCAACCCCAGUAACCUCUCAGACCUCUCUCCUCCCUUUCUUUGUUCCACCACCACUGGCGUCGCCGGAAAUCGCCCACGGUGGCCACCGGCCAAAUAACCCCAAACUCACACCUUACACUCUCUAACUCCUCCUAAUUCCUAAUCUCCCAUUAAUUUCAACAGAAAGUCGACCAAUCUUCACGAAUUUCAGAUCUUAGACCUAAAGGAAAAAUAAUCUAAUCUUUGAUCAAAAGCCUUGAAUCCUCCGCUGCCUUGUUUCUCCGCCCCAAUAUGGUAAUCAAUAUCGCUACAUGUAGCAUUAGUUCUGCCGAUACGUGCGAGUCAAUGCUCAUGUUGCGAUAUCGACUAUCGACCGGCGAUUUCCUGGUCUUGUUGUUUUCAAAGGUGAUCCUCUUCUUUCUUCAUGUUUAGACCUGUUAAUUCCUUCUGUGGUAUGUAAGGUCUUAUUGUUAAUUUAGUGGCAUGAGAGUUUAUCCAUGCCUGUUUGUUCAAGUCGGUUUCAUAUGAGAUUGGUCACAUUUACUUAACUAGAUUAAUUAUCGUUGCAUGCCUUAGAAUUUAUCAAUUUCUCAGAUUUUUAUGACCUAAGUUAGGGUUGAGUUAUUGUUUCUUACUCUGAAUUGCUAUCUCUAUUUUGGUUUAACCUUUUUCUUAGGAGACGGAUUGGUAGAUUUUAGAUGUUUAAGAUAAUUGGUUUUAAUCUUAAUCGUUUCUUUGUUAAUUUAGGUUAUCUUUGAAUUUCUAUAGCUUUGUUUGAAUUCGGUUGUUUUAAUUAGCAGAAUCAUAUUGGUUAUGGCCUGUCUUGAAAAUGGAUUGGGGGCCUGCCUUGUUUGACAGGUAGGCCUAUUGAGUCUUAAGGCCCAGAUUUCUGUUAUGGUUUGAAAGGAAAAUAGUAGAGCCCUAAAGGGUAAUUAAGAGUUUUGAAAUUGAAAGAAUCUUCAUAUAACUGCUAGAAAGUGUCUAGAAGGUCUAGGGUGCAGUAAAAACAGGGAAAUUUAGGUCAAUUUUGGGUAAAUACAGAGGGGUAAAAGGGGCUGGGAAAGAAUAGGAGGAAUAUUGGAUGGUCUAUUGUAAAGAUGCCUUUUCCCUAAAUUUUAGGGAAGGCUGGCAUAUUCCCAAAAUAGCUCUUAUUUUUCUGCAUUAAAGUACACAUACACUCUCAUAUUGGACUCACUAUUUUCACUCGGGACUCUCAGAAUUCUUUCAAUCUUCAGUAGAGCAAAUUUUCUGAAUUCUAGCUUCCUUUUAAGUUUCAGAAAACAUAAAAAAAAAAAAAGUUUGAAAAGAAGAAAAAUAACAGGAUUUGGGAUUGAUUUUGUAAGCAAAGUAAUUCAAAAACUGAAGCUGACUUCUCUGGGUUCUAAACUGAUUUUAACUGGCAUUUGGAGCUGUUUCUGCUGCCUGGUUUUGUUAAGAUUUCUUUCUAGUUUUCUAACCUUUAUUUGGUCUCAGCUUUUUGAUUCCUGCUUUAGGUAUGUUGAAAUCUCAUCUAUGGUGUCUCUUGGAAAUGUAUAAAUGAAAAUUUGAAUUGAUGUUCCUGUUGUCUGAAUUUUGCUUACAAAUUCUUUUCCUUUUUUCUAUGUUGAUGACUGAUUUGUCUAUGUCUUAAGCUUAAGGAAGUUCAUGAUGUUUAAAUCACUUUAGAGUCGACAUAGCAUCUAUUGGAAUCUGAUUUGUUCUUUAAAUGAUGAUCCAUGUUUGAACAUUGAGUGUGGUAUACUUGUAGAUCUGAUAACCAUGUAAUCAUGUUUGCUGCUGGAAAGUUCAGUUAACAAUUUCAGGAAAGGGAGGAUUCUGUGAUUCCAUGCCUUCCAUGCCUGACCGUCUUCAGUAAUCCUGUAGAUUCCGUGCACUAAACCAAAUCCCUGCUUUAGCUUUUUACCUAGUCCCACUUGGUUGGAAUUCUGGAGAGAUUUAAAGUACAAAUCAACUACCUCGUAUACUAUGAUGAGGUGUAGUUUUGUUGAGGAUCGAAGACAAUGGAUGUCAACAUAAUAUGUAGAAUUAGCUGAUUGUACGUACAAUAAUGAGAAAAAUAACAUGUUGCAGAAAAAUAGAAUUCUGUAUCUUCCACAACAUAUAUCAGUAACCUUUUCCCAUUGUGUCCUUUUGAUUUUUCGUAAUGUAACACCACUAGUCAUUUUGUAAGUAAUCAUAUAAAUUCCUAGUACAGCAAAAUCUUAGUGUUUAGAUGGUUCCCAUUUGGUUCAGAGUACCUUUCAUAUUUGAGUUGAUUGCUCCAGAUUUAAGAUGUAAAAUUUACUCGAGUAGCUAGUAAGCAACAAGUUUGGCAUUAGAAAGGAUAGAGCAUGAAAUGUCAUUGAUUCAACCAUUUAAAG
rnacentral:lncRNA from 1 species